UACGGAGGAUGCAAGCGUUAUCCGGAAUGAUUGGGCGUAAAGGGUCCGCAGGUGGCAGUGUAAGUCUGCUGUCAAAGAAUGAGGCUUAACCUCAUCAAGGCAGUGGAAACUACACAGCUAGAGUACGGUCGGGGUAGGAGGAAUUCCUGGUGUAGCGGUGAAAUGCGUAGAGAUCAGGAAGAACACCGGUGGCGAAAGCGUUCUGCUAGACCUGUACUGACACUGAGGGACGAAAGCUAGGGGAGCGAAUGGG
rnacentral:rRNA from 1 species